GCUGGGUGUGGUGGUUCACGCCUGUAAUCCUAGCACUUUGGGAGGCAGAGGUGGGUGGAUUGCUUGAGUCCAGGGGUGGGUUCGAGACCAGCCUGGGCAACAUAGCAAGACCCCAUCUCUA
rnacentral:SRP_RNA from 1 species